ACGUGACCGGUUUCACCGGGAUGUUCAUAACCCUUUGUUGUCCGACUCUGUUGCCUCCGGGGCGACCCUGCCUUCGGGCGGGGGCUCCGGGUGGACACUUCAAACUCUUGCGUAACUUUGCAGUCUGAGUAAACUUAAUUAAUAAAUUAAAACUUUUAACAACGGAUCUCUUGGUUCUGGCAUCGAUGAAGAACGCAGCGAAAUGCGAUAAGUAAUGUGAAUUGCAGAAUUCAGUGAAUCAUCGAAUCUUUGAACGCACAUUGCGCCCCCUGGUAUUCCGGGGGGCAUGCCUGUUCGAGCGUCAUUUCACCACUCAAGCCUCGCUUGGUAUUGGGCAACGCGGUCCGCCGCGUGCCUCAAAUCGACCGGCUGGGUCUUCUGUCCCCUAAGCGUUGUGGAAACUAUUCGCUAAAGGGUGUUCGGGAGGCUACGCCGUAAAACAACCCCAUUUCUAAGGUUGACCUCGGAUCAGGUAGGGAUACCCGCUGAACUUAAGCAUAUCAAUAA
rnacentral:rRNA from 1 species